UGCGAUAGCUAGUAGAAAUAACAGUGUUUGUUUAAUUAUAUCCUGGAAAGGGUGAUGUUCAGCACAUGAAGCCCUACAGAUGCCGCCGAUUCAACAAUGCUGAUUAUGAUGGGCGGUCAAUUUAACCUUUGCCUUAUUAGGUCCUCCACAGUCGCCCCAUCAGUCCCUGGCAGUCUGGUCCCUGGAGCAGCUGGCCCUGGCAAAAGUUAUUCCUUCACUGUUGACCCCUGACUGACUGGCCCUCGGCACACAAAUCCCUGGAUCACCUGCCCCUGGAUCACCUGCCCCUGGAUCACCUGCCCCUGGCAAUGUGGCCUCUUGAUUGCUCUCUCUGUCUCCUGUGAUGUCCUUUUCAACGCUCUUGAAAUCCACCUAAAUUUCUCCCUCAAUCUCUGUAACAAUUACAAGGUAAUGUUGCUGUUAUAUGUAUUUUGCCUUUGCAUUUGCAACUACUGUCAUCUCCAAUGUAAGGAAAUGAAUUAAAGCAAAACAUUUCUGUAAUGUGAAUUAAAUCAUCUGCCACAAUCAGAAACCAAUACAAUUUAUAAAUGGAUCUACCGGCAAUUGUUAAUUGGGUAGAAAUGUGUCGAUUAUCUACAUUGUGUGCAAAUCCUCAGAGAAUCCCUGCCUUCUGGUUGUUUUUUAAACUGAAUGUACAAAUAUGAAUUAUGUAAUCUCAUUAGGAGUGUAGUCUAUCCUUGAAUUACAUAAAAUGGGGAAUAUUGUUAGCUGCAUGGAUCAUACCGAAGUUUAAUUUGGCGCAAUAUGUGUGGUCCGUUGCACUUGGUUCCGGAGGCACCCUCACAGAAGGGGGUUUCCUCCUCUUCGGUUUAGGGCGAUGGAUGAAAACUGUUGGGCCCGCAUCGGGCCUCAACUUCAACAUCCUAUCUACUUUUGUGGCUUUGAAUCUGUCAUUUUCAAAGUGUACCUGUAGGUAGGCUUGUAAGAUCAGUUUCCAUUGCACUUCAAAUAUCAUUGGAAAGUCAUAAUUCUCUACACUUAGAAUUAGUAUGCCCUUUGAAAUGCUAGCAAGGGAUCUGAACAUUACGUUACAUCGUUUUUGACUGUUGCUGACUGUCAAUAAGUUAUGACGGCUGACCGUUGCCAUCCAUUUCUCCCUGCGCUCUUGGUCCUUGGGGAAGCCGUGAUAACCCUUCUCGGACCGAUUGGAGCAUCCAAAUGCUGCACAGCCAACCAUGGUAUGACCAUUGAUCUAUAAAAUGUUAGUUGUAACCAAUGAACCAUGACACCAUUGAAGAUCACAGAGCGGGUAACAACUGUUCCUCAACCACUUAUGCCCUGACUUUUGAGAAUAGGUUAGAGGUCAGAGUUCAUGACAAAACGAGGAUCCUCCCUCCUAAACCCAUUUUGAAUUUGCUCAGGGCUAUUCUAAGUAUUGUAAUGGCAUAAAGUAUAGUAUAUUUGCAACGUUAUAUGUUAAUGGUUUGCCCUAAGUAUAUAGUGUUCCCUGCUGUGUCCAUUGUUGAAUCUGUUCACACAAUCGCAAUCACUUGUUCUUGUCACACUAAUUGUUUAAUAAAAAAAAAUACAAUUUCAUUCA